UAGUCAUUUUUAUAAUUAAAUAAUAUUCUGUACAUUAAUAUCUCACGAAUUCAUGUUUUUAUUUAUUGUUAUUAGAAAAACAGUCAAAUAUACAAAAAAAGCAAAAACCGAAAUGGCUAUGCAUAGUCAUAGUCAUCAUACAGGUUUAGCUAAUACAAUAUUUUUCUGCAUAUACUACAUUUAUUUACAUAUUUGGGGCUGAAUUAUUUUAAAUUGUUGACCUUAUAGUUCACCUUUGUACACUUAUGUGUCUUUCUUAAAACUAUUUUCUUACAUACCAUAAUACCCAUUUUAAAAAACGAUUUUUUAUAUAAUAUCUAAUCCGUAUUGAAAUGUGUUCAAUUGCCAUCAAUUUUAGCCCUAUUUUAUUUUAUUUGGCAACAGCCCCCAGCAUGCAGACUUUCCUGAGCAAGCAUGGAACCUUGGAGCAACUGUGUAACCAGAGACACAACAGUGACAACACCAGAUCCUGGCCCCAGGCGCCAGAGGGGCCUUUUUUUGUUGUUUUGUUGUUGCUGUUGUUGUAAGGUCAGGCCUGGAGGCCCUCCCAGCCAGGGGCCUGGCUGAGGACCAGCACCAGUUCGGCCCCGACUCAGAGAGCAGCGCGCCAGCAGACCGCCCCGCACGCCCCACGCUGCGCGGGAACGCCCUGCGCAGGCCAAGUGCCGCCCACCCUGCUCACAGCGGACAAGCCGGACAAGCCGGCUCUUGGAGCACGGGGCUCACGACUCAGUGCUCUGCCUUCCAUCGGGUUCUGCCGUGCCUUUGCUAUCUCUUCAUGUCAUUAUAUAAGAUGUACAAAGUACGUCCUUGCUGUGGAGCUUCUUUCUUCUCUCUGACUUCGGAGAAUUCUCUGCCUCCCACCCUACCCUCCAGAUUUAUGGCUCCACAGGAUUUGCCUUUCAAGGAGGAGAAUGGUUGAAUUAUUCAGUCUACUAGUUAGUUUUGAGCAGACCAUGGGAAAUAAUGGUUUCGAGCUCAGAGGACACUUUCCACCUCCACCUAUACCUGUGUGUUCCUGAUUAUGUGACAUUUGUGAAACAUCAUCAGUUCUUGGAUUAAUUAUCAAUUUCAAGGUUUUUUGAAGUGGUAACUUGGCAUGGGAAUUUAGAAGAUGGCUGUGAAAUGACCAUGAAGACUACAUAAACUCUCGGUAUUCUAGUAAAAGAAUAAUAUGUUGUCUGACUUACAUUUUUCUCACCUAUGAAAUAAAAGUAAUGAUAUAUUAAAAGUUAUGAGGAUUUUUUGAGAUAUCAUUUAUGGCAUCUAACAAGUAUUUUAGAUUAUAUACUUAAUAGUCAGGAAGCAUUAUUCUCUUAGCUGUUCAUGAAGGUGAGGAGAGAAUAAGAAUAUUUAGAAAUAUGAAGAGAACGGGUAAUUUUGCUGAUGUUUCAAUCACAGAGCUCAUUCUUAAGAGUGUACUUGAGGUGGGAGAUGUGAAUCAAUUAAGCUCCUGUAAACGCAGAAAAAAAAAAUAGUUUCUAAAGGCAGUUAAUAUAUUUUUUCCUUAUCCUCAACUGAGAAAACUGAUUUGUUACAAUAACGAAAAAACAAAACUGCUGUGUCAGCAAAUCUCUCUCGGAAGUUCAGAUGUAAUUUUGAACAUGUGUAAUAUAUUCUCUUCACAUUUUUAUAACCAUGGAAAAUGUUAUUUCAUUUAUCAAAAAGCCAAGACUGAGCUUCUACAGUUUUACCUUUAAGCAUCAGUUACUUCUGAAAAGUAGAAUGUUGACAGACCUCAUUACAAAUAAUUACUGAGAUGAUUAAAUUAGGUAUGUUCAGAAUUUGGUUGGGUGUACUAUGCUUUAUUUCCUUCAGUUUUUCUCAUCUUCAUCAAUUACUAUUUUAUGAAAGCAAGAAUUUCUUUCCUCCUCCCUCUUUUCCUUUCCCUCUCUGUUGGUGCUCUUGUUCUGUGUACAUGUAUAGAUACACUUUAUUCAGUUUUUUACUUUUGAUGCUCUAAUGUGCUGAGUUUAAAUCUUGCAUCAUUUUUUUUCCUUUAAAAAGAAAAGCUUGUAGGAAUUCCCUUGUGGCUCAGUGAGCU